UUUAGUUGAAUCUGGAUAGUUUGUAUAAUACUUGGUGAAGUUGCAUAGUGCUGUUUUCUAAUGCUCUACUCUCAAGCUACUUUGAAUGUGCCCAAAUCCUUCAUAUCCAUUUCAUAAGACAGAACUGUUUGCUCGAUAUUUUGUAUUAUACAGAGUGAGUCAGAGUCAGAGUCUGGGUGUGUGUGUGUGUGUGUGUCAGAUUGUGGUCUGUAAUAUUCUCCUUUUUGCUUUCCUCAGCAGUGAUGAGUGUGAGGACGAUGUUAUAGAAAUCAUUGUCGAGGCCCCUGAAGGCUUCCGGAAUGAGGACUGUCCUCCUCUAGAUGCAGACUGCAGCUCUGAGGAGGAGGAGAGUAGCGAGCAGCUGCAGGCCUCCAGUGAGACAAAGGAAGAGCAAGAGGAAGAAAAAGAGAAGGAGAAAGUGGAAGACAAGAAGGAGGAGGAGCAGGUUACAGAGAUGGACAUCCCUGCCACACAGGAGCAUGGUGAUGAGGCAUCCUGUGUUGAGGAACCCCGCUCCUCGACCCACAGCAGUAUAGCCACCACUGUCCUUUAACAUAAUGGAGAUGCCACUUCUUCAGACCAUUAUCAGAUGCCAUCCUAAAUCCCACCACUCUCUUAAGAGGUCCUUACCAUUUCACCUCUAACAGAUCAAAGAGCUCCACUCCUCUUCUCGAUCAGACAAUACAUUUCUGCCAUGGAGUUAUUAUAGAUCAGACAAGCAAUUUCUGCCAUGGAGUUCUUCUAGAUCAGACAAGCAAUUUAUGCCAUGGAGGUGGAGAUUGCGCAAAUGAACAGAAAUAUAUUUGCCUCCCUCACUCCACUCGUGAUUGAAAACAUGAAUGACUAUUGUUGUCCACUCAUCCAAAGGCCGCGUGUACACACACAGUCACCUUACAGUGAAGAUACAUUUUUAGUCUAAUGGAGCCUCUUCAAUCAGAAAGUGCCUCAAGUUACAGAAAGAGGGAUUGUCAGUUAACGAAUACAUGAAGAAAAUGAUAUUUUUAUUACGAACCAGAGAAGAAUAUGAAUGAGUAUAAAGAAGAGUUUUGAUACAUUGUUUAUUUUCCGGAUGACUUAGAUUGUGCACUAUAAAAGAUACAAUUAUUUACUGUUUCAUAUAAAUAAAUAAUGUUGAGCAAAUAUGUUGCCUGCUUUCAGAUGUUUUAAACUUUAUUAUAAAAAUAUGUUGGUUAACCUACUACAUUGGAUGGUAUUUCUAUGAGAGUACUUUCGGUGUGCUUUAAAAUCAGUAUUUGAGAAUGACAACAAUGAAACAAAACCCCUCAAAUGUUCUGUGCUGGCAUCCAAUACCCAAAAAGCAGCACUUUUACAUCCAUGACUACCAGACUAACAUCUUUCUAAACUGUACUGCCCUCUCCUGGGUCAUGAUGGAGGAGGCCAAACAUAUUCCCAC
rnacentral:lncRNA from 1 species